AGACGCGUGGUCGAAUGGUUAAGACACUCACUUCAUGGGUGAGAGAGUCCGCGUUCGAGUCGCGGCGCGUCUA